GCCGGGCGUGGUGGUGCGUGCCUGUAAUCCCAGCUACUUGGAGGCUGAAGCAGGAGAAUUGCUUGAACCCGGGAGGUGGAGGUUGCAGUGAGCCAAGAUAGGCCACUGCACUCUAGCCUGGGUGACAGAGCGAGAUUCUGUCAA
rnacentral:SRP_RNA from 1 species